rnacentral:rRNA from 1 species
UAGCAAUACGGAUGGCGCACGGCGCACGGGUGCGUAACACGUGGGCAAUCUGCCCUCGGAUGGGGGAUAACCCCGCGAAAGCGGGGCUAAUACCGCAUGACAUUCCGGAGACCUCGGUCUUUGGAUUCAAAGGUCGCAAGAUCGUCUGAGGAGGAGCCCGCGCCCGAUUAGCUAGUUGGUGAGGUAACGGCUCACCAAGGCUUUGAUCGGUAGCCGGUCUGAGAGGAUGGCCGGCCACACUGGAACUGAGACACGGUCCAGACUCCUACGGGAGGCAGCAGUGGGGAAUAUUGCGCAAUGGGCGAAAGCCUGACGCAGCGACGCCGCGUGGGGGAUGAAGCUUCUCGGAGUGUAAACCCCUUUCGACCCGGACGAAUGACCCGCAAGGGUUUGACGGUACGGGUAUAAGAAGCCCCGGCUAACUACGUGCCAGCAGCCGCGGUAAUACGUAGGGGGCCAGCGUUGCUCGGAAUUACUGGGCGUAAAGGGUUCGUAGGCGGUGCGGCAAGUUGGGAGUGAAAUCUCUGGGCUUAACCCAGAGGCUGCUUUCAAAACUGCCGUGCUCGAGUGCGAGAGAGGUCAGUGGAAUUGCAGGUGUAGCGGUGAAAUGCGUAGAUAUCUGCAGGAACACCCGUGGCGAANGCGGCUGACUGGAUCGCAACUGACGCUGAGGAACGAAAGCUAGGGGAGCAAACAGGAUUAGAUACCCUGGUAGUCCUAGCCCUAAACCAUCAGGACUUGGGGUGGCCCGCGUAGGCGGGUCGUCCCGUAGCUAACGCGUUAAGUCCUGCGCCUGGGGAGUACGGUCGCAAGACUGAAACUC